rnacentral:lncRNA from 1 species
GUUUUAUUUCAAAAACACCAUUUGCAUAAGUUUUCAAUUUAUCUAGUACAUAGUUAAGCAGAACAAUUAGAUAUCAAGUCGACGACAUGGGUAUCUUUCAAGUUGGAUGACAAAAAUGCAUAACCUCCGAUUUUUUUGAAAAAAUUACCACGGACGGAAAAGAUAUCAAUCUAUUAGUUCAGUAAUUUUCGUGUCUGCCCUUCCAUUAUGUGACUGAAUAAAAAAUUCCAAAAAAUAGGUAACAAUUGUAUCGAAAGAGAAAAUCGAGUGCACCUUUUUAUGUUAGGGCGUGUUUGAGUUGAGUAUUUUGUCUUGAUAUCGUUCAAAGUAAGAAUAUUUCAUACAUCGUCUCGCUUCAGAUUCUAUCAUUUUUAUAAAUUAAAGCUACAGGUUGACUUUAUAACACAAAAAAAUAACAGUACUAAAAGAUGAAAUAUAUGGGUCAAGUGAAAUACCUAUCUAAUGAGUCACACAAACAGGGAAGGUGUGUUCGAAUAGCUAUUUUUUUACUGAAAGUACUUGACGACAGUCUUACAAGUUGGAUGAUGAAAAUGCAUAUCUUCGAAAAAUUCUAAUUUUUUGUGUGUGAUAACUAGGGUUUAUAGUCUUCAACCACUAAAAAAAUCUAGUCUGCCCUUCCACGAAAUAUUUAAUUAGAUUUUUUUU